AGGCAUUGUGAAGAAAUACUAGCACAGAGGAAAGUCACCUGUAUUAAGACAAUGCUGCUGUGAGGGGAUGCCAGGUGAUACCAGCCAAAUCAAAGCAGUACAGGGAGGAGAAGGAAGUCUGACAGUUCCUGGAGCACUCAAAUUGCCAGGCACAAAGCCCAGCCACGUAAGGUGACAAGACAAAGGUGCUGAAGAGAUCUAUUUGAACAACAGGUUGGAAACAGAUUGCUCCUAACAGAGAAGGAGGGUCAUUAGUAAACACCAUUUCCCAGGCUGUUACUUCUGCUUGGGACACUCAGACUUUUAUGCAUCAGUUACAAGACAUCUUACAUCUUCUAAGAAAUCCUGUUUUCCUCAUUUCAAUAAUCUCAGACAUUUAAACUUCACUGCACUGUAACUGCAGCUUCACAGGAACCUUUCAGAGCUGUCCCCUCUUAUGCCAGGCUCACCACUCUGACUCAACAGCAUCAGCUGUGGCAUAUUUUAAUAAAUUGUAUGCUUGUGCACUACCUUCCAUCAGUCAAAAAAAGCCCAAACCUGCUUAUGCCGUCAUGACAUUUUCCUGCCGUGGAUCUUUAAUACUAUGGCCAUCGAUAUGAAUCCCAGGAAAUGAACAAAAGCCUUCAACCAUCAACAGGAGCUCACAGAGGACUCUACAAGGGAACAUCAUACAGGCUUUUGCAGCCACCAAAGUGCUUGUCAGAGUUUCCAGAAGAAUCAUACCUAUGAGCUCUCUUCAUUCUCCUCCUCUCGUUUUGUUUAAUCCCCUCUACCCCCCUUCACAGAAACUCGAUAAACCUGUUUACCAUGCCUACAGAAAACAGUAUUAUAAAAAGAAUACCUGUAAGAAAAUUAAUA